AACUCCUGGGCAGAUGCACAGCUUGUUACAGGCUGGGCUGGGUUUCAAGUCCAGAUCUCCACGACACCAAAGCCCUGUCUGUUUCCCCCGCCAAGCUGGGGAAAGUCAGCAGAGGCCAGAUCACCAAGAGCCUUAUAAACUGGCUAAGGAAAGUGAGCCGGCCCCUCGGAGCAGUGGGGAACCUCGAAAGACUUCUAUGUAGAGGGAAGGUGUUUGGAUGUUUGAAAGAUUAUUCUGGAAGCUGUAUGGAAGAUAAAUGUAAAGGGGCUUGUGGAAAUAGAUGAGUAAUUGACGGCUAUUAAGCACCCAGAAUUUUCAGGCCAUGGGUGCUCUAGGGAAACAUGAAUUCAUGAAAUUCAAGGUUUUACUAUCUAGUCUAGGAGAAAAACUUACAUGCAUGAAAUAAUAUGCCAGACACAGGAUCUGAAAGUACUGCAAGUUCAGACUUACCUUGAGUACAUGAAGUGUCUGAGGAGCAUACCUGCUGGUAAAUGAUCUUGUCUGAAAGCAGGAGGGAAAGAAGGUGGAACUCUGUAAUUCUGAAGACCUGAUGCCUUAAGAUCCACUCACUGAGUGACUUAAAUCCAGUUGAAUCUUCAUACACCCAUACUGUCGGUUGUCUGCUUAUGGGCUAUUUCGUGCUGUUUUUCAGCCUUUCCACUGUUCAUUUCACUAACCUCUGUUUGAAAUUCUUCCCCAAAGGCUGCCUGUUCCAUAUCUAGGGAUAAUGGCAUGUGCAGUAUGUAUCUGCUGUGUGCGCUCAGUCGUGUCUGACACUUUGCAAUCCCAUGGACUGUAGCCCGCCAGGUUCCUCUGUCCAUGGGGUUUUCCAGGCAGGACUACUGGAGUGGGGUGCCAUUUCCUGCUCCAGGGGACCUUCCCGACCCAGGGAUGGAACCCACAUCUCUUGAGUCUCAGGUUGCGUCGGCAGGCGGAUUCUUUACCACUAGCGCCACCUGGGAAGCCCAGGUUGUUUGGAUAACCGUCAAAGAACAGUCAUUUCCGGAGCUCCCACUUCAUUCUGGGCAAAAGGCAAAAUUGCUCUGGAGAAAUUCCAUGAGCAAGGUAAUGUCAUUCUCUCCUUACAAAGGAGGAAAGAGCAACACAGAGCAGUUAGUGAACUUGCUCGGGGCACAGAGCUGGUGAGAGUCAGGAUGCGGACCAAGGCCUCCCCGACCGCAGAGUCUCUGCAUCUUACCCUUGGCAGCACUGCCUCCCUUGCACCCCAAGUUCCAAAACUUCUUACUUGCUCAGUGUGCUUCUCUUGCUACUAACGCUUGAGAGGAAACUAAAGGGCUCGUCAUGUUGUCGGACCGAUGAGAAAAGACAGACUAGGGAAAUAGGAGGAUCGUCCCAAGAUCAAGGGCUGCUCUUCCCCCGCCUCCUGGCCUCUGGUCCUUCGCAGGUCUCCAGGCCUCAUCCCAAUCGUGGCUGUGUGUUGCAGGAGCCUGGAACUCCCUUAAAAGUCCCAAUGCCUGGCUUUGAAAAAUAUGGAUGCCUGCGCUGACAUUCUGCUUCACUUGGUAUACAAUGGCUUGGAAUUUCCGAAGCUCUUUAGGUUGCCAGCCGCAGGAAUAAAGAACCGAGGGAGGAUUUUGGAAUCUUUCUGGGGGUGGCCAGAGUACUGCACCAUCAAAAAGUGAAAAAACGAAAAGGAAGAAAUUGUCCUCUGGAGAAAAAAUGAAAGCAUUGAAGACCCUGGGAAGACGAAUCUAUUCACAGAGAAGACGUUGGCAAAAGAAAAUAGACCCCUCGGAAGGAAAACGGCUUGGUUACUGUUUCAGCUAAGAAGUGAGAUGAGAUAUGAAGCGAUGUUUCAUUUCACGUUACCUGAAACGUCUCAGAUAAAGUCUUCCCUAGCCCCUGGAACUGAAUAAGGAGACACAGACAAGCCUUUAUGACUAGCAGCAGAGAAUAAGAGCUCCGUCUCACCGCAUUUCAGCGACCUUGCUGUGUGAGUUGUUUCUUCCAGUUCUUUGGAGUGAUUUAGCUGAACAGGUGCAAGUGGUCUGAAAGAUAGAGGAAGAGCAAGCCACCAGAGACAAGGCAGUGAGGACUCUGUCCACAUCAUAUUUCCGUGUUUGUUCUAUUUGUCAAAGACCACCCUCCACAGUUUAAACCAGAGACACUGAACAAGACGAAAGAAAAAGAAGAUAGGAUAAAAUAGAAAUACAGCUUAAGUAUAUCCCCAGGUACUAAACAAGAGAGUAAAUAGUUAAUAAUACUGUGUUAUAUAUUGGAUUGGCCAAAACAUUUGUUCAGUUUUUCUGUAAGAUGGCUCUCAUAUUGCCUAGUCAUCUUUAACUUCAUUCGAAACAACUUUGUUAGAUUGUUUUGUGACAGCUGUCAUAUAGGCAUGCAUUAAAAAAAAAUUCAAAAUUGGUGAAUUUUGUGUAGCCACUUCAAUUUUCAAGAUGGAAGAGUAAAAGCAACAUUUGGGGUAUAGUAUGCUCUAUUAUUUCAAGAAAAGUAAAAACGAAACUGAAACACCAAAAAAAAAAAAAAGAUUUCUCCAGUGUAUGGCGAAGGUGCUGUGACUGAUCGAACAUAUCAAAACUAGUUUGCAAAGUUUUCUGCUGGAGAUUUCUCCCUGGACCAUGCUUCCUGGUCGGGUAGACAAGUUGAAGUUGAUAGUGAUCAAAUCAAGACAGUAAUUGAGAACAAUCAACAUUACGCCACUUGGGAGAUAGCCAACAUACUCAAAAUGUCCAAAUCAAGUAUCGAGAAUCAUUUCCACCAAGUUGGUACGUUAAUCGCUUUGAUGUUCGGAUUCCACAUAAGUUAAGUGAAUAAAACCUUGAUUGUAUUUCCACAUGCAAUUCUUUACUUAAACAUGAGGGAAACCUUCCAUUUUUAAAACAAAUUGUGACGGUCGAUGAAAAAUGGAGACUGUGCAAGAAAGUGGGAUGGAAGAGAUCAUGGAGCAAAUGAAAUGAACCACCACUAACCAGAGGCCGGUCUUCAUCCAAAGAAGGUGACGUUGUGUAUAUGGUGGGAUUGGAAGGGAGUCCUCUAUUAUGAGCUCCUUCCAGAAAAACAAAUGAUUAAUUCCCAAAAAUACUGCUCCCAAUUAGACGACUGAAAGCAGCAUUCGACGAAAGCGUCCGGAAGGAGCCGACAGAAAACGCAUCACCUCCUGUCAGGACGACACAGGCUGCAGGUUUCUCUGACGACGGUGCAACUCGGCUGCGAAGCUCUGGUGCAUCCGCCUCGUUCACCAGACGCUACACCUUCAGAUGUCCUUUCCUUUCGGUCUCUACGACGUUCUCUCAAUGGAAACCGUUUCAACGCCCUGGAAGACAGUAAGAGGCACCUGGAGCAGUUCUUUGCUCAAAAACAUAAAAUGUUUUGGGAAGGCGGAAGUAUGAAGUUGCCUGAGCAAUGGCAGAAUGUCAUGGAGCCAAACAGUGAAUGCAUGGUCCAAUAAAAUUCUCAGUGGAAAUAAAAAAUGUGUCUUUUAUUUUUACUUAAAAACUUGAAGGAACUUUUUGGCCAAUCCAAUAUUUGACGCUGCUAACAGAGUAGACCUUAAAUGUUCUCACACAAAAAAGAAGUGAUAAUUACGUGAUGGGAGGCAGGUGGAAGCCUGUACUGUUUAAUAUGAUAUAAUCAUUUUGCAACAUAAGAAUGUAUCAAAUCAACACUCAGUGUACCUUAAACAUACACAGUGGUGUAUGUCAAUUAUAUCUCAGUAAAGCUAGAAAAAAUUUUAAAAAGAGAGUAACAGGAAAACAUGUAGGGUGUUACUUGAAUGUUUUUGUAAGAUAGUAGAAUGACUUCAACAGGAGCAUCGAUUUCACUAAAGUUUUAUACGAAAAUAUCUGCAGUCAAAAGUAGUGUUCAACUCUGCAUGAAAGCAAGUUACUUGAUGGAGGACAGUGCCGGCUCACUCCUGGCCCCUCCAGGGAACCCCCCAGGAUAACCCCCAUCCCCCUUCGCCCCCGCCAGCCAAGCUCCACUCCCUCUGUGCCCCCCUCUUCAGGGUUCUCCCCUUUUAGGCUCAGCUUCACACCCAAGCUCAGCUUGUAGAUGCUUCCCCUUCUGGGGAGUGUAUUUUCCCACAUUUAUGCUCCUCCAAAUCUUACCCCUACUCAUGAACUCAUGAGUUUUGAGUAUUCGCUGUGUGUCAAGCCUGGGUUAACUCCACAGGGAUGAAACAGUAGUCCCUGCUCUUGGGUUGCUCACAGCCCUUUGGAGAUUUCAACAUGGAAAUAACCACUCCGUGGAACCAAGGAAGUACGGCUGAUUUUUGUCUGUUGGUUCUCCUUUUAAUAAUAAGUAUAAUACGUGUGCAUAAAAGUAUACAGUGUGCAUGC
ensembl:lncRNA